UUAAUGGGAUAAUUGGGAUUAAUGGGAUUAAUUAGAUUAAUUAAUUGGGUCGUUGGGGUUAAUGGGGUUGUUGGGAUUAAUGGGAUUAAUUACAUUAAUGGGAUUAAUGGGGGAUUAUUGGGAUUAAUGGGAUGAAUGGGAUUAAUGAGAUUAAUGGGAAUAAUGAGAUAAUUAGGAUUAAUGGGAUUAAUGGGAUGAUUGGGAUUAAUUGGGGAUUAAUGGGAUUAAUAAGAUUAAUGGGGGUAUUAAUGGGAUUAUUGAGAUUAAUGAGGGAUUAUUGGGAUUAAUGGGAUUAAUAAAGUUAAUGGGAUUAAUGGGGGGAUUAUUGGGAUUAAUGGGAUUAAUGGGGGGGAUUAAUGGGAUUAAUGGGAUUAAUGGGAUUAAUGGGGGAUUAAUGGGAUUAUUGGGAUUAAUAGGACUAAUGGGGGAAUUAAUGGGAUUAAUGGGAUAAAUGGGGGAUUAAUGGGAUUUAAUGGGAUUAAUAGGAUUAAUGGGGGCAAUGGGAUUAUUGGGAUUAAUGGGAUUAAUAGGAUUAAUGGGAUUAAUGGGAUUAAUGGGGGGAAUUAAUGGCAUUAAUGGGGACAAUGGG
rnacentral:lncRNA from 1 species